UACGGGGGGAGCAAGCGUUGUUCGGAUUUACUGGGCGUAAAGGGCGCGUAGGCGGCCUGUGCAAGUCAGUUGUGAAAUCUCCGGGCUUAACUCGGAAAGGUCAACUGAUACUGCUCGGCUAGAGUGCGGAAGGGGCAACUGGAAUUCUUGGUGUAGCGGUGAAAUGCGUAGUUAUCAAGAGGAACACCUGCGGCGAAGGCGGGUUGCUGGGCCGACACUGACGCUGAGGCGCGAAAGCUAGGGGAGCGAACGGG
rnacentral:rRNA from 1 species